UACGGAGGGUGCGAGCGUUGUCCGGAAUCAUUGGGCGUAAAGGGCGCGUAGGUGGCCCGGUCAGUUUGUGGUGAAAGCGCGGGGCUCAACUCCGCGUCGGCCAUGAAUACUGCUGGGCUGGAGCACUGUAGAGGCAGGCGGAAUUCCUGGUGUAGCGGUGGAAUGCGUAGAGAUCCGGAAGAACACCGGUGGCGAAGGCGGCCUGCUGGGCAGUAGCUGACACUGAGGCGCGACAGCGUGGGGAGCAAACAGG
rnacentral:rRNA from 1 species